CCACUGCUCCCCGUUGCAUUCCAGCACUAUAUUUGUAACCUUCUCUAUGAGCAGAUUCAAGCCCCAAGUGACAUUCAGGGUUCAGCCCUACACAGAUUCUAGUAAGCUGCUCCGAGCUGGUGCUCCUAUCUUGAAAUAUUACUACAGUACAUUAUACAUUACCUAUAAUAUCUAUGAUCGAAAUACAUCACAGAAAAACAUAUAUGUGUAUAGCAUUACUCCUCAAGUCUCUUCUAACUAUAUUCUAUAUAUGUUGUUAAUUAGCUGAACCAUCUUUGUUGUGCGCAGGAGCAAAGCAGCAGCUAGCCAGGACGCAGUUCAAUUGGGUAUAAGCUUGAAGCGAGGCUUGGAAAAAGCUGGAGCAGGGUCGUAGCGGCCGUAGUCGUUCGUCUUAACCAUGAGGUUCCUUGG
rnacentral:lncRNA from 1 species